GCUCCGGUGACCUAAGUGGUUACAGCAUCCUCCUCAGAUGAGGGAGGCGCGGGUUCGAACCCCGGUCGAGCA